GACGAACGCUGGCGGCGUGCUUAAUACAUGCAAGUCAACGAUUUUUAAGAUAGCAAUAUUUUAAAAAUAGUGGCGCACGGGUGAGUAACACGUAGAUAAUCUGCCUUUAGGUCUGACAUAACUCGUCGAAAGACGGGCUAAUAUCAGAUAAAACAAUAACUUGGCAUCAAGUAAUUGUCAAAGCUUCGGCGCCCAAAGAUGAGUCUGCGGACCAUUAGGUAGUUGGUGGAUUAACAGCCCACCAAGCCAACGAUGGAUAGCUGGUCUGAGAGGAUGAUCAGCCACACUGGAACUGAGACACGGUCCAGACUCCUACGGGAGGCAGCAGUAAGGAUAUUGCUCAAUGGGAGAAAUCCUGAAGCAGCAACGCCGCGUGAAGGAAGAAGGGGUCUUCG
rnacentral:rRNA from 1 species